GUUCUAGUAUAAGUGUGUCCCACAUAUUGCCUGGGACAUGCUUAUGCUAAAA
rnacentral:miRNA from 1 species